GGGAUCGAGUGACCUGACUCGACUCUCAUAGCUGCCCAUCCAUGAUCAGCAGGCGAUUGCCCCAGGGCAUGGGGGCGAGGAGAUCCAGUAGCUCUCAGGGUUAUGAGAAGGCCGAAUGUCGAGUCGAGAUGGAGAUUGUUAGGAUUUGAUGUUUUGAAAUUUGAUUCACACUGAGCCCACAGCAAGAUCCACGAUGACGAACGGAGUCCAACGAGCUCAAUAUUAGCCCAAACGAAGAUCGGAUGAAGGA
rnacentral:lncRNA from 1 species